GAUGAACGCUGGCGGCGUGCCUAAUACAUGCAAGACGAGCGAACAGACGAGGAGCUUGCUCCUCUGACGUUAGCGGCGGACGGGUGAGUAACACGUGGAUAACCUACCUAUAAGACUGGGAUAACUUCGGGAAACCGGAGCUAAUACCGGAUAAUAUAUUGAACCGCAUGGUUCAAUAGUGAAAGACGGUUUUGCUGUCACUUAUAGAUGGAUCCGCGCCGCAUUAGCUAGUUGGUAAGGUAACGGCUUACCAAGGCAACGAUGCGUAGCCGACCUGGAAGGGACGUCGACCACCCCUGAACUGGAGAACGGUCCAGACUCCUACGGGAGGCAGCAGUAGGGAAUCUUCCGCAAUUGGCGGAAGCCUUACGGCACCCCUCCGCGUUGGUGAAGAAGGUCUUCCGAUCUUAAAACUCUGUUAUUAGGGAAAAACAACUGUGUAAGUAACUCUGCACGUCUUGACGGUAACUGGUCAGAAAGGCACGGCCAACUACCUG
rnacentral:rRNA from 1 species